GACGGAGGAUGCAAGUGUUAUCCGGAAUCACUGGGCGUAAAGCGUCUGUAGGUGGUUCGAAAAGUCCACUGUUAAAAAUUGAGGCUUAACUUCAAAGAUGCCGUGGAAACUUUCAAACUAGAGUAUGGUAGGGGUAGAGGGAAUUUCCAGUGGAGCGGUGAAAUGCGUAGAUAUUGGGAAGAACACCGGUGGCGAAGGCGGCGAGCUGGUCCAUUACUGACGCUGAGGCGCGACAGCGUGGGGAGCAAACAGG
rnacentral:rRNA from 1 species